rnacentral:sRNA from 1 species
CAGAAGUCGAGCAUCGCCUUCUAGGACGC